ACUAUAAGAUGAUUCUACAUUCGUUUAUUGCAGCACCUCCUGUAUGUCACCUCCUUGCAUGUCUGCCCAGGUAUUUCUGUCACUGAGUCUGGUGGUUUCAAAGGAAUCUUAAAGCCCAUUUGGUUUCCUCAGAUAAAACAGGCAUAGCUUUAGGACUUCUGGGAAAAAUCAGAAGGUCCUAAGUCUGACAAAUGAGGAAGUGGAGGGUGGACAGCCAAAGGUUUUAGGUCAGAAAACUAGGAAACUUGUCAAAGUGACUUUUAACCCCAGCUGGACAUACAGAUCUCCUAAAUUUGUCAGAAUAGAUGCCUGGAUUCUGCCCCAGAUUACUUUUAAAAAUCUCUGCUGUGGAUUUGGGCAUCUCUCUUAUUUUACAGUUUGGUAAUAGUGAUCAGACCUACUUAUGGUGAGAAAUGAGAGAACAUUGCUAUUUGUUUGGAAAAAAGACCCUUGAGUUUGGAGGGGGCAAAAGGCUGGGAAACUCAACUGGAAGUAGCCAGAGGACCCUGUCGCUAGGACCUCACCCUCACCUCUAAAUCCAGCAGUUCUGUCAGUACCCAGUUAGGUUUGAUUAUAGUUCCAGAGGCAGACCCAUCGCAGUUCCCCAGAUUUCCAAUCCGCAGGCCCACCCAGCAGGAUUUACAAUUUCCUUUUACAAAUAAAAUCAGGGAAUGAGAAUUGCUUUUGAUUAAGUCAUCUUGGAAGAGUUUUCACAGGUUAAUUAUGGGUCAUGAGUAAAUGUAAAAGCUAGUGUGACGUGAUAAUCAAGUAUUAGCAUUUACUGUGUGUCGUUAGGUCUAGUGCUAUUAAGGCACACUGAGGAAUCUCUUGCCUUUAAAAAGCUGAUGCUGCCUCUGGAAAAAGUGACUUCACAAAUCAAUCAGUAACAAGAUGCCAAGUAGUGAAGCCCACAGAAAGCACUGGUCACAAAGUCACAUGACCUGGGUUUAUCAGUCUACAGUCUCAGCUUUUUGUCUAAAAUGGGAGGAGACCGUGAUCCCUUUAGGAGCCAUGGUAACAGCAGUGAUUUCCACUGAGCUUCCAAGGGGUCUGAGGAGGUGUGGCUCCUGAACUUGGAUCUGAAAUCCCUAGGGGACCUGGAGCCAUCUCCAUCUUGAACUGCAGUACUGUAUGGGAUGCUUUGAAAGAAAGGGGCAUCAUCCUAAGCUGAGUAGUCCUGUGGAUGGCACAAUGGAGUUUGUUCAGGCUUCUGUGAAGCCCUAGUGAGAUCAUGUGGGUGUGCUCUCAUCACCUCCACCCCCACCUUGCCCUGACCAUGAAUCAGCUUGGCAGAGCUCUACAGCAAGGGUGUGGCUGGUGUAGCCACUGCCUUGGGGACAGGGGGUGGGGCAUUAGCUGAGUGCAUUCCAGUGUGGGCAUUAUUGUCCUGCUGGAAGUUCAGCACCAAAAUAGGAGUCCAGUUUUGUCAACCCAGUUGAGAAACCAUUUCUUAAGAAACUAUUGAACAGCUACUUGUGCCAGGCACUGACAUAAGGAAUAAAACAUGGUAACAUCUAGGCCAGUGUCUCCCAAACUAGGUGCUGUGGAAUCCAAGAUGUCCACAGGGGACCCCUUAGUACAGGAUUUUAUGUAUACAUUCAGGGAAACAUGCAAACCUUGAACACAGCCCUGCCCCUGUACCUUGAUAACACUUGUAAUGUCAGCUGGUCAGAGAACUAAAGGGUCCCUUGGGGGGGCUGGCCCAUCCCUAAAUGUUCCAAAUAUAGUAUAAGUCAGUCAGGGUAAUGCUCUGAAAACUAGAGGUGGAGCCAUUCUCAGUGUUCAUUCAGACCCAGGCAAAGUGAGAGUAUCCUUUGUUACCCUUGACGAUGGGGGUUGGGCAGAGGGCCUCUUGUAUCAUCAGCAACACCCACAAGUGCUGUGCCAGUCCACACGUUACAUCAGAACAGGCCCUGGAUCAUAGAGGGAUGAAAAUCCUAUGGCUGUGUGGUCUUAGGUUAGAUAGUUUAUCUCUCUGGGCUCAUGUCUUUAUUUGUAGCCUGGGUAAUUGAUUGGUCCUCAACACUGAUACUAACCAAAGGCCCUUUCUAACAUUUGCACUCCGGUCACUACCAUAUCGCUCAGAUUUAUUCAGCAGUCACUACCAUGUCACCCAGUUUUAUUUAGUUUUGUAGAAGAGAUUUUGUCAGAACAAACGUAUUCUGGAGAGAAGCUCGGUAGCCCCUUAAAAUGUCUCAGCCUGCCUGGGAGCCCAGACUUGGUUCUGGGGAUUCCCACCAUUAAUUUUGGGCAUCCUCAGAAUAGUUCCUUGCUGAUCCUCUGGGUUUGUACCCCCCACCCCCGCUCCCGGCACGCAGCACUCCAAGGCAAGCUGGGGCCACGUGGCCCCGCCCCGCCCUUCCUGGCUCCAGUUUCUCAAUCAGUUGCCUGCUUUCUCCGCCCUUCCCAUCAGUCAGGAAGCCUGGAUCUUGGGCUGGGGAAAACCACAGCCUCUCCCACCUGGCACCUAACCACCCCAGCCCCCAGACACCUGCUCCAAUCCCUGGCCCCUUAAAGCUUCCUGCAAAGCCCAAGAAGACUGUGUCGUGGUUCAGGAACAGAGCCAGAUUUCACACUGAGCAGCUGCAGACGGAGAAAUCAGAGAAAGCACAACCCAGCCUCAGAUUCCGAGGGGCCUGCUUGGGACUCUCUCCUCCUGCUUGGAAGGAAGACCCUGAGGCAGCUGUCUCAGGCCAGGUCUUGGCUGCCAUGGGACUCCCAGCCACCACGCCCCAGCUGCCCUCCAUACUGCCAGGCAGAUAAGGGUGAGCCCUGCCCAGGAGCACCUGCUACCUUCUGCCAGGCCACCCCUCUGUGGCCAGUCCUUCCUCAGCUUUGAACCACCUUUGCUGACCUGAGGCCAUGUAGGCCCCACUUGGGCCUCUGUGGAUAGAUACGCCCCUGGGCACAGCACAUCUGCUCUCUGGGAGAUCCAGUGCACCACCAUGCCCCGGGGACUCGCUUGGCUGCGCUAUCUCGGGAUCCUCCUUGGCAUGGCCUUGGGGAACAAGGGUUUGGAGGUGUGGCCCGUGACCUCGAGCGAGGAGUGCGCCAUCACUGGCUUUCUGCGGGACAAGCUGCAGUAUAGGAACCGCCUUCAGUACAUGAAACACUACUUCCCCAUCAACUACAGGGUCAGCGUGCCUUACGAGGGGGUGCUCCGAACGGCCAACGUCACCAGGCUGCAGAGGGCCCGGGUGACCCAGCGGGAGCUGCAGUAUCUGUGGGUCUGGGUGAGUCUCAGCGCUACUGAAUCAGUGCAGGAGGUGCUGCUCGAGGGCCAUCCCUCCUGGAAGUACCUGGAGGAGGUACAUACGCUACUGCUGGACGUCCGGCAAGGCCUCGCGGGUGUAGAGAUCAGCCCCCAGGUGGAAGCCGUGUUGUCCCUCCUGAGUGCCCCUGGGAGCCUGAAGCUGGUGCGGCCCAAAGCGCUGCUGGACAACUGCUUCCGGGUCAUGGAGCAGCUGUACUGCUCUUGCUGUAAACACAGCUCCAUCCUAAAUUGGCAGGACUGUGAGGUGCCAAGCCCUCAGCCUCACAGCCCAGAGCCUUCGUCACAGUGUGUGGCCGCCCAGCUGUACCCUCUGCCCCAGCAGCCCCCCACCUCCCUGCCCCGCUCCCCAGGACCCACGGCUGGAUCCCUGGAUCCCUGAAGCUGCUGAGGGCCCAGGGCAAAGGUGUCCUGUGCCAAGUGGCCUGUAUGGUGACUAGAGUGGGGCAGCUGGAGGAGCUCCUGCAAAGAUUGACUGGGCCUGAGCCUGCUGGGUGGUGGGGGAGAGCCCCCCUUGGGAGAGGAGACCUUGGAGGGUGUUUCUCUUUUGAGGGGGAUUCGGGGCCUGAGAGGGACUCAGCUUCUCACCUUCUGUACUUCCCAUGGUCUCACCUGGAGCACUGGAGGCUGGGGGCACCUGAAAGUGAAUGAAGACAGAGCCUACAGCCCCUCCUGGCACUGCCUGGGCUGCCCCCCUCCCUGAAGGCAGUGCUGACCGUCUCCCAGGCCUGAAGAGGCAAGAGCUGUACCAGCCUCAAGACCAGGGACAGAGCUGAGGCAUUCAAAGGCAUGGGCCCUGGCGUAAGACCUGGCCACUCGUGCCCCCUCAACACGGAGCCCUGCAAGGAGCCUGUGCCCCUGCCCCCAGGCCGGGCUCUUGGAUGGGCAGGGGCCGCGGGUGAGCAGUAGCGGAAGAAGCCAGGCGAGGCAAGGGUGUUAAUUACAGUACAACUUUAUUAAUA